rnacentral:rRNA from 1 species
CCCUUAGAUGUUCUGGGCCGCACGCGCGCUACACUGAUGCAUUCAACGAGUCUAAAACCUGGUCUGAUAGGGCUGGGUAAUCUUUUGAAUGUGCAUCGUGAUUGGGAUAGAUGAUUGCAAUUCUUCAUCUUCAACGAGGAAUGCCUAGUAAACGCAAGUCAUCAGCUUGCAUUGAUUACGUCCCUGCCCUUUGUACACACCGCCCGUCGCUCCUACCGAUUGAAUGUUCCGAUGAAUACCAUGGACUGAGAGUAUGAAUGGGUUCGCCUAUUUCUGCUUCUCGGGAAGUGGAGUAAAUCUUAACAUUUAGAGGAAGGGGAAGUCGUAACA